UUUCAGUAUUGCUGGGACUUCCCUUCUCCCCCACUUCACCAGAAUACAAUAUUCUGAUAUAAUUGAUCAGGCAUUUGGACUCUGAUAGAAUUUGCUUCCACCCAGUUUCUUGUGAAAACUCUCCUGCCACCUCACAGAGCUACACAAAGCCCAUGCAGAGCUGCUGGCAAGACUGGAGCUUUCGUCCAGAUUGCAGAUGCCCAAAAUAUCUGUAUUCUGGACUGAGCAGACUGAGGCUGAAGUGCUCAUGGUUGACUGAUUGAAGAGAGCAUGCAGGAAUGCAGAACGACGGACAGCCAGCCACCGGGCUCUGCUCAGCCCAGGACUCCCUCCAGCAGGAGCAAAAAACGACCCCAGACCGUGCGUGCCCAUCUCCCAGCCCCGACUCUCACAUCAGCAUGUGAUCUGUUUGCUAAUUUUUCCAGCCUGCUGAAACGUGAGCUCAGUCCAGGACACGGUUUUGACCCGGACUAACUCAUGUUCAUCCCAGAGAUGCCUGGGCACAGCUCAAGGGCUGGGUCCUGCCCAACCUUGUCCAGCCUCCCAGAAAACUGUCUGCGUCCACGCCAGCCAUGGACAGACCUUACUGGGACAGAGACGGUGUUUCCAGCCCUAAGUAAAUCAGAAAAGCAGUCCCAGAUUUAGCCUUCAGCCCAGGGCUGAGCUGAGCUGGGGCAACAGUAAGUGACGGGGCUCCUGCAAAGCCUCAGGCAGCCCUUGGGGUGCUCUAGGGUGGGCUCAGCAAACAGGGAGCCUGGAAAGGGAAAACGCUGCAGCACACAGUGGGCUGGAGUGGGGGGAGUGAGCGCUGAGCCCAGCACGGUUCAUGGACCUCCUGGCAGGAAAUGUCUGAGCACCUGUAAACAGGUCCUACCUGCCAUUAAAUUUAGUUAUACUGCUGUUUCUUAUGUUAUGUUAUGUAAUGUUUUAUGUUAUGCUAUGCUAUUCAUUUUAGAUUAUUUUCUAACCUGUGAUUCAUCUGGCACCUUCAGCAGCCGGGAUUUAUGAAAUAAAAGCUAAAAUAUCAGUUGAAA